rnacentral:rRNA from 1 species
UACAGAGGGUGCGAGCGUUGUUCGGAAUUAUUGGGCGUAAAGCGCUUGUAGGCGGCACGUCAAGUCGCGUGUGAAAUCCCCAGGCUUAACCUGGGAAGUGCGCGCGAAACUGACGAGCUUGAGUGCCGGAGAGGGUCGCGGAAUUCCCGGUGUAGAGGUGAAAUUCGUAGAUAUCGGGAGGAACACCGGUGGCGAAGGCGGCGAUCUGGGUCGAUACUGACGCUGAGGUGCGAAAGCGUGGGGAGCAAACAGG